CUAUUGUGUUCAUGCUUUUUGUCUUUUCUUUUUACAGAGCAGUAUAUUCUGUGCAACAAUCCUUUCGGUUUGGAAAAUAAGAUUUAAAAACGUUGGUAUUUUUAAAAAGAAAAAUUGAAAUCGAUUUAUGUAACCUAUUCAUUUUAAAUUUUUGCAGUGUUAUCUAUCUACAUGUCGAUGUCCACGCCACAUAAGGUUGAAGUUUCAUAACUCGAAACUAAAAACCUUCAAACAAUCUAUGGCCUAAUAGGUACAGGUAUGUGUAGAGCAGCCGGUGUACACGAAUUCCUAUCAAACAAUGCGACAAUGACCUGCUAGUUUGAAGUCAUUUGAAUCAGCUGUGCGGGACUUUUCAAUUCAACCAUGUACCGAUAUGGUAUGAAUUAAAGGUUAAUGAAAUAAAUUCUGGGAUGUUCGACGUUUUCGCCAAUGGUAUAAGAUAUACAUAUUGACAGUCAGAAUAUAUAAAAUAAAGCCCACGGACGUCCAAUGCUGGCCAUAGGAUUCCCCCGAGGCUUAUCGUGCCACAUGCUUUAGCCAUGUGGGAGGCCUACCUACGCUUCGCUUUCUUUACUAAAUACCUUAUUAAAACGCCGUGAUAUCCAUGGACUUCACUAGCCCCUUGACACCAGGUAGGCCGUGAAUUCGUUCGCCCUAGACGAAUGCAAUACAAAAAAUGAAGAAAGUAAUAAAUAAAAAUUAAAAAGUCGAAAUAUUUCAAUAUUCAA